UAUGUGAUCGUCUCUCGCAUAUCAAUAAGCGGAGGAAAAGAAACUAACAAGGAUUCCCCUAGUAACGGCGAGUGAAGCGGGAAGAGCUCAAAUUUGAAAUCUUAAAGGGUUUCCCUUUACGAAUUGUAGUUUAAAGAAGUGUUUUCUGUUGAGGUUUUGGUAAAAGUUCUUUGGAAUAGGACAUCAUAGAGGGUGAGAAUCCCGUAUUUGACCUUUACUUUCAACUUUGUGAUACACUUUCAAAGAGUCGGAUUGUUUGGGAAUGCAGUCCAAAAUGGGUGGUAAAUUUCAUCUAAAGCUAAAUAUUGGCGAGAGACCGAUAGCGAACAAGUACCGUGAGGGAAAGAUGAAAAGAACUUUGAAAAGAGAGUUAAACAGUACGUGAAAUUGUCAAAAGGGAAGCGUUUGACACCAGUGUUGUUUUUCUGAAAAUCAAUUAAAGAACUGUUUAUGCUAAGUUGUUUAGACUUUAUCAGCUAUCUGCUUAGUUUUGAGCUUUUCUUUAAUGCACUUUUCAGUUAACAAGUCAACAUCAAUUUCUUUUGCUGUAAAAAAGCUUGAGGAAGGUGGCUUGAGAUUCGUCUUAAGUGUUUAUAGCCUCUUGCCUAUGCAGUCGGAGAGAUUGAGGUCUGCAGCGUAGAUCCUUCGGGGCUAAAUGCAUUUGUGCUAAGUUAUAGCAUUUUAUAGACAACUUGUUGACUAUGAUUUGUCUUGUAGCUUACUCGCUUAUGUUAUUUUACCUACGCUUAGGAUGUUGAAGACUCUACAGAGAUA
rnacentral:rRNA from 1 species